rnacentral:rRNA from 1 species
UGUACACACCGCCCGUCGCUACUACCGAUUGAAUGGCUCAGUGAGGCCUCCGGACUGGCUCGGAGAGGUUGGCAACGACCACUCCGAGCCGGAAAGUUCGUCAAACUCGGUCAUUUAGAGGAAGUAAAAGUCGUAACAAGGUUUCCGUAGGUGAACCUGCGGAAGGAUCAUUAC